rnacentral:lncRNA from 1 species
UGCUUCAUCUCUCAGAUUAUCUGACGCUUCAUGGUUUCUCCCUGUUCAUGUUCGGUGGUUGGAGACGUUAUUCAAAUUAUCAGCUGCUAUGCACUUUGUCACGUCAGGGGCUCAGGGCACUGGUUCAGUAAUCAUCUCUGAUGCCUGAGUUUCCUUGAGUUUUAUUGUUUAUUGAUAUAUUAAAUCUAAACAAGUUUAAGUACAAAGAGGCAAAAAACACACAGAAGGAAAAAAGUAAAGUGAAAUAACUGGAACUAAUCUUACCCAGUUGCUCAUGUCUGUGGAAUAACUGUGUUUUGCGGUUUUGCCCUAUGUAUGCACAUGGCAUUUUCAUAGCUGAAUUGUCCAUGUACACACAUGGCAUUUUCAUAGCUGAAUUGUUAGCCUCCACUCCGGCCAAAUGCUGGAGCAAUAUGAUUGAAAUCUGAUCAUCUAAUCGCCAAAUGCUCCAGGCCAUUAGGUUGAUCGCUUCCAUGUUAAAGAACUGCUGCAACACUCGAAAAUGAUCUCCCAUGGGGAAUUUGACUUCCCAACAGGCAACAGCUGCCAGCUCUCUGUUAGAACUUGAUCGCAGAGGACGCAGUUAUAAGUUGGUAGACAAGCUGCAUGACCUGCUAGGACUUUAUAAUCUUUGACAAUCAGUAGAUUGGGUUACCCCAGAGGUAUGUCCAUACUUGCUCCUCUGUGGGAUUGUACAUUGUCCAGGAUUGUGGCCAUCUGAUUGUACUGACUGCAAAUCUGUUGCAUCAGCAGCAUAUGCUAAUGUUCAGCAAUAGAGCAGAUUAGCUGAAGGACCUGCCUGCCCAUAUGUUCCAAGGUAAUAUGCUUUCGGAAAGAUCCCGGCCGUCGCAUCGGCGAUCGUUGUCGGUGGAGGAUUGCAGGUUAAAGCGAGGAUGGUGAUCUUCCUGGAUGAGGUUUCUCCGAGGGUAGGCCGUCGUCGUCGCAGGUUCAGAGCCUGACGCCAACGCGGAAUUCGGCGGCAUCCAAUUGCCGGAAUCCCCCGUGCUCGCUGAGAAUACCGUCCAACACUCCGGUCUCCGCCGUCGUCGUCGCCGAGCCCAGGCCGUCUUUUCGGAGGCGCUGUCCCGGUGCCCCUCGCCGGAAUUUGUACUUACCAAUUUGCUUGUUCAGAUCGCCGGGUGGUCUGCGGCAGCGUUUAUCUCCUUUCUCAAUCAUGCUGCAGUGUAGCCACAUUAACUCUGUACUUUGCUGUACGUGUCCGAAUUCGCUCCAUGCAAUCUGUUUAUUCUCUUUUUUUCGUAUUUUCUUUCACAUUGCUUCAUCUUUUUCAGGAGCCGUCGCAAUAGAUGGGCUAACCAAAUCAGCUAUUCCAAGUUGGUCGCCAUAUAUGGUACACAGCCUUUCGAGCCCGAACAGCAGCAUUAGAAGACAGAAGAUUGGAAAUUGGAUUCAGGCCGAAAUUCAUUAUGCUAUCUUUUAUCCGCCUAUGGGUGUUUUGUUUCAACGGAAAGUUCAGGUAAGUUGGUGAUCUCUGCACUCUGUUGUUCCUUAAAGAAAUGACACUUAUGCAGUGGAGAUAUCCCAUGCUAGAACCAUAAAAACAAUCUUUCGAGGACUGCCUAAAGGCUCGGAUUAUUGGUGUUGCAACGGCACGAGAUUGAAUCUGCAUAACUACUUCUACUUGGACCAGAUGGCCCAUUGAUCGGUUCAAGUAGCAGCCGAAAAUCAAUGGACGGUACCAAUGCCGAUGAUGAUAAUAAUGUGCUUUCCCCCUUUUUUUUCUCUGCCUUUUUUGGGCGGGUUAUGAUAAUGAUUUCUAUACCUCAUGUGUUCGUCUAUUAAUCAUCCAGGUGGCUACUAGCUCAGGUCAGAGAAAGGCUUGUCCAUUAAGAACUUGUUCUGUUGUUUUUUCCUUCCGAAAAUUACAGCACAAUCUUCAUUCUUACUCUACGAAAAACAAUUGAUUUUGUAAUAAUUUUUGCAGUGACGAAAUGCGGUAUCUUGAAUGCAUGCUACAUAAGUGGAGAUGCCAUUUUGUGCUGCUUUCAGGAGAGGGCCAUCAUAAGAAUUUAAAAGGCCAAAGAGCCAUCAGAAAAUAUGUGCACACCACACUGUCAGCUAGCUAUAUCUUUGCUAUCCCAUUGUGGUUGUCAGGCCAUACUAUCAUUUUCCAUCGCCUGUUUUUAGUAUCAGAAAAUUAUUUUUCGGGUCGCUGCUUCGCAUUUCUGAUUUACCAAAUUUAAGCCUUGCAGCUAAAUAUUGGUGUACCCAAUCACAUACCAAAAGGUGUCGUCAUGUAUAUCUCCCAUCUGUGACUAACAAUACGAUUCUCGUUCUCCCUUUUAUUUUCAUUUUGAAAAACACAGUAAACCAUGCUCCCUCCAUCCCAAAUCGUAGGUCGUUUUGACUUUUUCAAGUGCAUAGUUUUUACUAUACACCUAAGUAUAGUGUAUGUCUAGAUGCAUACAGACAUCUAUGAACCUAGAAAAAACAAAACGAUCUACAAUUGAAACGGAGGGAGUAGUUCAUUACCGAUUUCACGAGCAUGGCAACUUAAUCACAGGGGCGGAUCUAGGGCCCGGGCUGCCCGAGCUGCAGCCCGGGGCGAGCCCAUGUAGUCCCUUUAACAUAUGUGGUAUUUAGCCUAAUAAAAGGAGGUUUAUGAGGCAAGAUUAGACUGUUUUGGUGCUGUUUCAGCAACUUAACCCGGGGUGCAGCUGAACUUUUUUUUAUUUUUAACCCUUUUUUUAUUUAUUUUUAAAAAUAACCUCACCCGGACUUUAUUUGCGCGGCGUAACCCUUUUGGCCGCGCCAGACCGCCUGGCGCGGCAGGAACAUGCUGCCGCGCCGCAUGCACUGGCGCGGCGGCCCCUGCCACGCUGGCGCGGCGAGUCGCGGCGCCAGGUGGGCGCUGACGUGGGCGGGCGCUUGCCGCGCCAGCCCCCUGGCGUGGCAGGGCCAGCACUAAUUCCACGCGUCGGCUCCCUUCCUCCUCCCUCCCUCCUUUCUUCCUCCUCCAGACUCCCGAGCCCGAGCUCCUUGCGCUGCCCCCCGCCGCCCCACCCCCAAAUCCACCCAAAAUCCGGCGUUUUCGGUGGGGGAAAGUAGUGGAAAUCGAUCCCUGCUUCGUGUGGAAGUUAUUCCCCUACUUAUUCUCGUGUUUUACCGUUGCAUUUGGUAGAUCAGAGGAUGUUUAGGUGACUUAGGGUUAGGUUAGUGAUUUGAAUUUUGAAUGAAAUGCAAUGGUGUUUUGUGUUAGAUGAUACGUAGUUCAUACGCAAUUGAGUCUCUGCCCGCGAUAUUGACGUGUAGAACUUGUUGAUUUAGGUAUAUAUUCAUUGAAUCGUAUAGUGCAAUGUAUAUGUGUAUUUUUUGUUUGCAAUUUGUCCAAUAUAUGUAAUGUGUGUAGUUGAUAUGUCGAAUAUGUGCAAUGUGUAGUGUAUAUGACAUGGUGAAAUAUUUAUAUUUUGUAGAUGGAUCGUUUAGUUCGAUUUUUUGAUGGUGGUGUUGUGAAACAAAAUGGGGAGUUAGAGAAUAUGAAUGAGUCAAUUGAAUUCUUCGAUGGUCCUCCAAGUUUUAGUGAUUUAGUUGACCGUGUAAUGAGGAAGUAUGGAUGUAGAGUGGAUGAGAUCAGUUUGAGAGGUCGUUUUGAUUGUGGGAAAGCUAGAGCUCAUUAUGUUCUCAUGAAGUUAGCAUCCGAUGCGAAUUGGAAGCACUAUAAGGAUGUAGUGCACGAAGCUAAUGUUGCAUAUUUGGAGGUUAUAGUCGAAAUUGUUCGUAUGCCUGGCCCAAAUGUUGUCAUGAGUGAGGAAGUGGCGGUAGUGAACCAUAAUGGUACCCAGGAGUCAGAAAUGUUGCAUCACGUGUUAGGUGAAACAGAACGUGAUUUUGACUUGGCUAUUGCCAAUGAUGAUUUUCCCAAUAACAUUUUGAGAGGGAUGAAGCUAACCCCANNNNNNNNNNNNNNNNNNNNNNNNNNNNNNNNNNNNNNNNNNNNNNNNNNNNNNNNNNNNNNNNNNNNNNNNNNNNNNNNNNNNNNNNNNNNNNNNNNNNNNNNNNNNNNNNNNNNNNNNNNNNNNNNNNNNNNNNNNNNNNNNNNNNNNNNNNNNNNNNNNNNNNNNNNNNNNNNNNNNNNNNNNNNNNNNNNNNNNNNNNNNNNNNNNNNNNNNNNNNNNNNNNNNNNNNNNNNNNNNNNNNNNNNNNNNNNNNNNNNNNNNNNNNNNNNNNNNNNNNNNNNNNNNNNNNNNNNNNNNNNNNNNNNNNNNNNNNNNNNNNNNNNNNNNNNNNNNNNNNNNNNNNNNNNNNNNNNNNNNNNNNNNNNNNNNNNNNNNNNNNNNNNNNNNNNNNNNNNNNNNNNNNNNNNNNNNNNNNNNNNNNNNNNNNNNNNNNNNNNNNNNNNNNNNNCAUCAGUUAUUAACAAUGGUUGCUAAUUUUUGCUGAUGAAUGCAUACCUUAGGAUGAGAAUUGCAAGAUUUUCGUAUGAAAUGUUCUUAUAAAUUGAGGAUGGGCCUAUCGUUACUAUUCGCUUGUGUACAGUGUAAACAAUUUCAUACUGCAAAUGUCAUUUGUAUCAUAUUUGUGUUACUUACCACUUUAGUAGCCCGUUAUUCACAAUUGGAUUGACUUCUCAUUUUUUAAUAAUCUUAUAAUGUUUUGCAGAAUUUGACACCACUCAGGGCUAGGGUGCACUCACCACUUAGGUGGGAUGAGUGGUACGCCCAGUACCUGCAGAGAGCAGGUUUCUUGGAUCUCGCUGUUUAGGUUGUCGGGGGUCUGCCUCCAAUGGACGGACUGCUAUUGACCGCUAUGGUCGACAGGUGGCGUCCGGAGACUCACACGUUCCACCUGCCCUUCGGAGAAAUGACCAUCACAAUGUAGGAUGUGGCUAUGAUACUCGGCCUUCCACUGGAUGGGCAGCCAGUGACGGGUAUUAUACAGAAUGAGAAUUGGCGUGAUAUGGUUGAGAUGCAUAUUGGGAUUAGGCCGCCAGAGCCAGAGGGCGGAGACAGCUCGAAGAAGACGUCCGGUGUCAGCUCGGCAUGGUUGAGGGAGCACUUCGAUGUGUGUCCUCCAGGAGCAAAUGACGAGGUCGUGCAGCGCUAUGCUCGAGUGUGGCUAUGGCACUUUGUCAGUACAUUCCUCCUUCCAGAUGCAGCUGGGAACACAGUAUCGUGGAUGGUUCUCCCCAUUUUAGGUCAGGUUUGGGAAAACAUAGCCGUUUACAGUUGGGGCUCAGCGGCUCUUGCCUGGCUGUACAGACAGCUAUGUGAGGCUUGCAGGCGCACAGCGAGGGAUUCCAAUGUUGGCGGUUGCACUUAUAUGCUGCAGAUAUGGAUUUGGGAGCGAAUGCCCGUGGGUCGACCUUCCUGUCUCCGUGUCGAUGUAAGUCACUACGGCUAAAUUCCUUUUUCUACUUUAAUGUUCGGAAAAACUAUUGUAUCAUGUGACCAAUUGGACUUACUUGCAAUUUCAGCCAUGGCAUCGAGACGAUGCUCGUCCCACGUUCUAUCAUGUGUGGAAGCAUGUGCGGCCCGUUCGUGGCAAUCCGGAUAGGCGCUACAGGGCCUACACAAACGAGUUUGAUGUUCUCACGCAGCACCAGGUAAUUUGCUCACCAUAGUUUUUAAAGCUAACUUCCGUAUAAUGAUAGAUGAAAUAAGUAUUGCGUGAAAAUUUUUGCAGGUUGAAUGGAAACCGUACGACCGUGACCAGCUUAGCCAUAUCGUAUUUUCACCGACGUGCUACAGAGACAGAGAGCUGUGGAGGUGCACGACGCCACUGAUAUUGUACUACGUGGUAGAGUUUCAUAUGCCGCAUAGGGUGAUGCGGCAGUUUGGGAGGAUGCAACCGUGCCCUCUUUUGGAAUUAUCGACUUCGCAGCAGCUGCAUAGGUACGCAGGAUUAAAUAACUGUUGGAGGCUAUUCAAUUAAUGCACUUAACAUGUUAUACUAAUACUUCACUAAUUUCUGAUGCAGUAUCGACCGCAGAAAGCGGUACAAGGAGAAUGAUUGGAGGUUGAAGCAUGCUCAGUACCUCCUCAUGUGGCAGAAUAAGCAAGGAUGCGAUUCUGACGGUGGACCGUACUGGCGACCAAACAAUGAGUACAUAAGAUGGUACUGUACUUUGACGAGAACUAAAGUGAAACCAUCUUGGACUAAUGUGCCCAUUGAGGAUGCACCGUCUGAAUCAGACGCCGACAUAGCUGACGCGUACGACACGGUGACACGCUAUGGGACACAGCCUGAGCGUGCACCUCUCCACGACUACAUGGUAAGAUUUCGGUUUGUAAUUAUAGUAUCGUCACAUUGAUCACUCAUGGAAUGAAAACUCCUGCGUACAGGGACAGCAGCUUGCAAGGCUCUCAAACGAGGCGGGCGUGAUUAUGGAGCACGCCGUCCGAGAAGGUGAUGGUCUGCUUCGUCAGUUUGCAGAGGUAGAAGCCCAAACUAAUUUCCACUUAUACUCGUACUACCUUUGUAACCAUCAAUAUCAUAGUCGUGAAUAUAUGCUACUUACAUGUGGCAGAGGGUUCGGAAAAGCUGCAGGCGAAUGGCCAUGAGUAUGAACUGCAUGACGUCCUCAGAUGUGCACCACGGGGGCAAUGGCCAGAGUACUUCUUCGGGAUCACGUCGGACUCCAUUGGCGACUACCCCCAGGGCUGCAACACCGUCCACUGCUGCAGGUCCUAGCAGGAGAUCACGAGGCAAGGAACCCGCAUCCCCUCAGGAAAGCGAGGACUCUGAACAUGAGCAGUCUGAGGAUGACGACCCUACAUAUGGUGAGGAACUGGAGAUUUCUCACGAUGCUCCACCUGUGACUCAAACGCAGGGAGAGUCCAGCCAGGUACAUUCACAAGUUUCUCCAAAUUCAAUUAUAGAUUUUAAUGUUCACUCCCGAAGUGUCAUACAAAUUUUAUGCUUUGUGCCCAAUUAUUCCAUAGGAACCUGCACCUUGUACCCGGAUGCCACGCCGGCAGCGUCGUUCCCGGGACCACACCGACGUUGGCAGCGCCAAUGUGCUGCCCACGCAUCCAAGGAGGGAGCGUCGCCCAAGAGAUCCUUUUAGCCCUCCGGAUGAGCGGCGGUCACGACACUGAACCUAGCAUGUCUCAAGACUUUUGGAACCAUCACGUCUGUAAAAGACUAAGUUGGUUGUUAGGUUUAUUCAUGUCACGUUUGUAAAAGACUAAGUUGGAUGUUAGGUUUUUUUCUGUCCGUACAAUGUUAUAUGUUUACUCCAUGACAUACUUGUGUUUCGUGUAUUUUUUCGUAAAUGUUCAGAACAAAAAUACGUUUCGGAUUGUGCAGCGCGCUCCUAAUGCCCCCCCCCGGGCCGAAACCUACUGAAAAUUUACUAAAAUUGGCGCGGCAGCGCACUUCUGCCGCGCCAGGCCGCCUGGCGCGGCAAGGCCGGCCACCCCCCGGCGAAACCUACUGGAAUUGUAUUUAACUUGGCGCGGCAGCGCACUCCUGCCGCGCCAGGCCGCGGCAAGGCCCUCCCCCGGCUGGAAACCUACUGAAAGUUUGUUGCACUUGGCACGGCAGCGCUCUCCUGACGCGCCAGGAGGAGUGGCGCGGCAACCUGAAAAUUUGUCUCGAUUUGCGCGGCAAACCGUGUCCAUUUAGAGUCUAAAAUUUGUCCCACAAAGAGUGACUUUUCAAUUAAACCUUAUCUAAUUAAAGUAACAUUCACGCAUUGACGCACAACGCAUGCACGCCAGUCUCGCGCAGUCGCGUCGCGCCUACAGAACCGGGCCACUGCCCUCUGCUCUUCCUUCCUGCAACUUGACCGCAAAUCUACUCGAUGGUGCUUCCUUCAUACGAGAACGCGAAGCGUCCCGCCGCCCGCCGCCCCAUCACCCGCUCUACCAGCGCUAUGCCUUCCUCCUCCUCCACCACCCACUCCUCCUCGUCCUCCAUCGAAAUCAUCGAUCCCAUCGAAGCUACUACUAUUUCUCCUUCACACUCUAGCGCUGACUACUAGCUCGGAGAGGAAACUUUGAUGCAUUUGGACAUAGUUCUCUCGGAAAUGAAAAUAGUUUUUGACAACUAAUUGUAGUUCUCAGAAUAAACAUAAACAUAGUUUUCUCAUAAAAGAACAUAGUUUUCACAACUAAAGAGAAACAUGAUCCAGCUACAUCAACGCGUUCAUCUAGUCCGAGUCACCUUCAUAUAGUAACUCGUCAUCAUUAUCAUCUCCGGCAACAACAACUCCCUUCCCUUUCUUAUCGACAUUAACCUUACCAACAGGUAAAUCGGCAACAAGAGCCUUCAUCGUCUCUAUCUGUGCCUCUUCCGCUUUUUGUUGUAACUCUUCCAUUUCAAUCCUUCUCUUUCUUGCCCUAACUUGCUGCAAAUAUUCUUCCCAUGAACCCUUAGGGUAUUUCGCAUUCGGAUCAACCACAUAACCUAAGCGAUCUCUUUCCUCCCUCAACCUUUGUUUCUCCAACUCCCUCUCCUCCUGCAACUUCCUCCUAUUUUCUCUCUUCUCAUUUUCAGUUAGAGGUCGUGGAUACUUGGAUCUAUUUUGCCUCCAAUACUUAAUAAUAGUUUCCCUUGCAUAAAGUCCUUCAGGUUCCACUCCAGUCUCAUGCACCAUAUCUUGAUAUAUUUUCCCCCAAAGCAAGUCGUCGUCAGGAAUAGGCACAUCAUACUCCUUCCUAAUCUUUUCUUUAAUUUCUUGUUGUUUUCUUGACUUCCAUGGUUCCGAUGUAUUUCCCAACUUUAAUAACAAAUCAUAUCGACCACAAAAAUCUUCCCAAUCACAUGUCCUUCCCUCCUGCAACAACAAUUCAAUAUUCUUACAAAUUUGAAACAAGUUCCAACCUUCAUAACACAUAAGAGACGAGUAUUACUAACCCAGUAAUCGCCAUGUGCAUUUCCGGAGAACGAACCAUAUCCAAGUUCAGAAGGCACCACACCUUCUGUUGCCAAUAUACCACACUUGCAUCUAUCACUAGGAGAGGACACACAUGGCCACGGUGCCUUUCCACUUUCGAACUCCCGCACUUGCUCCUCCGUUGGCCAUAUUGCCAUUGGGCCGUAUAUAUACUCAUUGAAAUCACACAACAGCCACCUAUCCUACAAAAAAACCGUGACGUGAACUACUCUUACGUAAAGUAACUACAAAACGCUGCUCCAACUUCCAAGCAAUAACAUCAAGUAAAAGUACGAACAAUAUACUGCAAAAUUAUAACUGCUAGCUAAACGACAUACUAAUAUUCUCGUAAUAUACUUACAUGAGUCUUUAGGGAGCAUCGAAAGAAUGGAGUAAACUUAGGUGGAUCCCCUAAGUAGGACGCAUAAGCUUAGCAGGAACACCACACUUGCACAUGGGAGGAUCCCUCACACGUCUACAAGCAGCCUCCUGCUUCUCCUCCUCGGUCAUCCUAGGUGGGUUUGGUGGAGGAGGAAACCAACGCCUAAACUGAUGGUAUGGUUUAAGCUCUGUGCUAUGAUAUGGGAAUAGGUGGAUCCUAGGAUCAUAUUUGUCGGGUCCAUCGAUCCACUGAAAGAAAUCACAAGGUGCGACAGGCAUUGGAUCAAAAGUCCACUUGCAUACAUAGAAGGCUCUUCCGGCUGUCUUUGGAUGCAUUGAUUGUUUCACCUCUGCUUGCGCGCCACAUCUACAAAGAGGUACCGGCAGGGCAGGAGGUACGGGACCAGCACCAUUGGACUCGCCCACAUAACGCACAUACCACCUACGCCGCUUGUAUUCACAACCAAACGACGUCAUCUCACCUGGACAUCAAGUGCAACAAAUUUAAUACACAAAUAAACUUUACACACGUAAUCCAUACGAGCUAUAUACAUCAUUUUGAUAAAAUGUAAACAUUCGAUCUACAAAAUACAAACACUGAAACAUAUCAACUAUAGCAACUAUAUUAAGGAACAAAAAUAUGAGACUAAUUAAUUGAAGAUAUAAAAAAUACAUGUCAUAUAAACCACACAAUUGGAUGAAUAUAUACCUAAAUCGAAGCAUUCAACAAGUUUUACACGUCAAUAUCGCGGGCAGAGACUCAAUUGCGUAUGAACUACGUAUUAUCUAACACAAAACACCAUUGCAUUUCAUUCAAAAUUGAAAUCACCAACCUAACCCUAAGUCACCUAAACAUCCUCCGAUCUACCAAAUGCAACGGUAAAACACGAGAAAAAGUAGGGGAAUACCUUCCACACGAAGCAGGGAUCGAUUUCCACUACUUUUCCCCACCCAAAUCGCUGGAUUUUGGGUGGAUUUGGGGGUGGGGCGGCGGGGGGCCGGCACAACAAGCUAAGGGCGCCGGUGUGUCUGGAGGAGGAAGAAAGGAGGAAGGGAGGAGGAAGGGAGCCGGCGCGUGGAAUUAGUGCAGGCCCUGCCGCGCCAGGCGGGCUGGCGCGGCGAGCGCCCGCCCACGUCAGCGCCCACCUGGCGUCGCGACUCGCCGCGCCAGCGUGGCAGGGACCGCCGCGCCAGUGCAUGCGGCGCGGCAGCAUGUUCCUGCCGCGCCAGGCGGUCUGGCGCGGCCAAAAGGGUUACGCCGCGCAAAUAAAGUCCGGGUGAGGUUAUUUUUAAAAAUAAAAAAAAAAGUUAAAAAUAAAAAAAAAAGUCCGUUUUGGAUCCGCCCCUGCUUAAUCAUGACCUACUUUCUUCUCUCUUUUUUUCAUGUUUAUACUUUUUAUAUGGAUUAUAUGACAUUGAUAAAGACGACCAAUCAUUUUCGUUCACAUGUGAAGGAUAUGGGAACAAUAUUUAAGAGAACGAUUGUUGGAUACCAUACAUUUUUCAGUUCUUGUCGAAGAUACAAUAGACUAUGGAUUCGAGCGAUGGUCGUUGUCGAGCAACAAUAAUGGAGUUUUGAUUUUUGUUUCCCCUUCACCUUCACCUUGGUUGGCUUCCAGAGGUGAAGGGUGUUUUCAUAGUACGCCUAGACAAAGCCAACCGUUGGUAUGCAGCCCAAUUGGCACACUACGCCUGCGUUCGUGUCAUGACCAACUCAAAUAUUCCUCUAAUAUUUUAAAGAUGAUUACUAUUUAUUUGCCACAUCAUAUUUGGGCAAAAAAACUAUCAGAUUUGUGUCAAUUUGACAUGCGUCAAGGUUCAUUUAUUAUUAUUGGGUUGUUAAUGCAAAAUCUGCAUGAUCUGGUUAAAUCAUUUGAAUUUAUUUUUUCAGUUAAGAAGAGUAGAAGACAUGUUCCAUACAGAAAAUUGUGUGGAUAUUUUUUUUUCCCUCGAGAACUAGGACAGAUGGUUGGAUCUGGACCAUUGGAUUGGAUUUCUCAAUCCAAAGGUUAAAAUAAGAUGAAUGAUUUGGAGACUGUGAAUGGUUUGACAGAUAUGUACGUACAUGGGUCGAACAAUUGUUAGUCUAACAUGUCAUUUUCGGGCAAAAAGAUUUCUUCAACCCAACGGUUACAAAAAAAGGUGAAUGAUUGAGAUUGAGAAUGGGUUGACAGGUAUGUAAACGGGUCCGACAACUGCUGGGAGCCUGGGAAUAUCAGUUUAACACGUCAUUUUUGGGCAAUGGGCAAAAGUCUGUCCGAUUGUAAUGUUCCAACCCUAGGAGAAAAAAAAAUACUCUGUGUAGAUAAAAUCAAGUGUUCUAGAAAAUGACACCCUUUUUUUUUCUCGUUUGUUAUUUCAUCCACUCUUCUUCUGUGGUCAAUGCAACAGUUGGAAAACUAACUGUAGGAUCGAAAAUCAUGCUGAUGAUAAUAGACAGUUUUCUUAAUAUCAGUAUAGCUCCCUAGUUAACAUUAGUACAGCUCCCCAGCUAGUUAAUACUUUGGACUACACCUCUUUGGCAGGAUGGUGGAGGGUGUAAGCAUAGAAACUCCUCUCAUCUAGGCUUAAAUUAUUGCGCCGACGAUGAUAGAUGCACAUGCAUCGAUCGGAGGAGGCCGUUCUAUGGCGCCACCGCUUCCUUGAGACGCUCCGCCCGGUCGUCGACUUCUGGUGCUUCAAGUUUGCCUUGUAAUCGAUGCUGUAAAUUUUUCACCCUCUCCUUAAAAACUGCUUCAGGCUAUGGCCGGCAUCAUGUGGUAAUAUAAUUCAGAUGAGGACUCUUAAUUCGUCCCCCGUGUUAACGUUAAAAAGUUGCACAUGCAUUUUCAGCUGCAAUGUCUAUAGGAUAACAGGUGUGCGAGCGUCAUCCCACACUUGUGAUAAAAAGCACGAGCAUAUUAUAUUGUUCACGAUCUUCUUGGAGGUAGCAUGAUGAAGCAUCGAAGAAAAACAGAAUAAUUAAGGACCAAUAAUUCUUCAUUUGAUGAGAACCAUGCCAAAGAUAACCGAUAGAUUUUUUUUGAGUCCAACCACUCCCCUAGGCUAAACUAAUCUAAUCGCAAUAAAAAUCUUAUUCGGGCAGGCAGGCAGGCAAUGCGAGAAGACGCCGCAGCAUACACACACGCACACGCACACACACAUACACAACCUAGAAUCUUUGAUCGAUCGGAUCGAGCUGCAUCUACGUGCAUUUCAUGUUGCGGCGCCGACGGCGGCGGCCUUGAGGGAUUCGACCUGGCUCUUGCCGCGCGGCCCCUUGCGGCGGAUGUAGAGGCGGUACUCGUCGAAGGUCAUGUUCUUGUAGAGCGAGGGGCGGUCCGGCGAGACGAGCUCCGGCAUGGGCGACAGCGGGAGGUCGCUCCGCGGGUUGUAGAAGAGCGCCACCGAGAGCCUCUCGUCGGCGGCGUUCACCAUCACGCGGUGCUCCACGCUCCUGUACGUCGCGUUCGUCAACACCUACAUACACUUACAAGUACACAAUCAGGCGAUCAUUAUGAUUUAUAUGUAGUAUAAAAUAACCUUCUUGACACAGUUGAGUGGGCCAGCAUGAAAGCUGGGGAUCUUAUCCUAAUGUACACCUGGACUGGCCGGGACGAGGCCAACUAAUAAGAGGAUGGCCUAUCCAAACUUAGGUCCCGGGCCGGGAUACGCUCGCCGAACCAAAUCAGACGUACGGGUCCAUCGUCAUCUAUCGGUUUCAGAGGGCCCGUCGACGGAGCAGCAAGGCGAAGCACAACACGCCAUUAAAGUGCUGCCUGAUGAUGGAUUGAUUGAUGGUGGGCACGCACGCCCGUGCAUUUUCAGACAGCGCGCGCACAGCGCCAUAAAGGCGCGAAUCAGAUUUUGUAGGGCGGGCCCUUCUGUCAGCCAGCUGACACGGCCUGCAGGGAAAAGGAGGCAGUUGGGCCCGGCUGUGGAAAACGUGCUGUUUGUUUCCUCCGACUUCCCCGCGAGGAGGAACAAGGACCGUGCCGGAUCCGGGGGGGUGUCCCGGCCGGCCGGUGGUCACCGCUCUUCAUGGCUCAGCCUGGCCUUGCCGACUGGGCGGCCGGCCGGAGAUCGAUGACUGGCUGGCCAGCACACGACACUGCACGGCGCCGGGACCAGCCAUGCAUCGCCCAGCAGUGGCUACGCCGCACGUGAUCCGCGGGUUGUGACAUGACUCAACAGCCUGCCACCGGUCACCGCGCAGCUCUUGAUCGGUCUCUAGCGCGCUGGCACUGGCAGCAAAGAUUUGGGGUGCUUGGAAGACCGGUGCUAAACUUUAACACCUGUCACAUCGAAUAUUUGAUACUAAUUAUGAGUAUUAAAUAUAGUCUAAUUAUAAAACUAAUUAUGAGUACUAACCAUUUGCUAAUGAUGGAUUAUUUAGUCUUAAUACAUUCGUCUCGCGAAUUAGACUCCAUCUGUGCAAUUAGUUUUAUAAUUACCUCAUGUUUAGUCCUUCUAAUUAACAUCUGAAUAUUCGAUGUGACCUUACUAAAAUUUAGCACCUCGUAUCCAAACAGUCCUUUUAUUCCAACACCAACAUGUGACGAGCGUAUCCCAUUGGUUGGUUUCCGCGUCUAACACUAGGAGAAACCACUUAUGUUAUGUAAUCGUAUGGGAAUCAUAUCUGUGUACGGGUAUUGAGCACACGGAUUACCUCCUCAUAUUCCAAAUAUAUAUAAAAAAAAGGCUUGGCUACAUGCGUUUAAGUAGGACUAAACAAAAACAUGAAUACGUACUAUGCCAGCUUGGCUUAUUUCUACGUAGGACUGAGGCGGAUUUACACGUGAAAUGGAAUCACUCGGUUUUUAACAAGUUUUCAAGAAAGCAAGAGCCCACCAGUGACCAAACGCGCACGUUUCAGUUUGGGCAAGCACGGUCACCGACCGAUCUGCUUUUGCAAGCAGGGGAUUCGGGCGGUGGAGGAGCUGUUAGCUGUGUGCUCCCCAACCAACGGAUGGAGAUGGUCCAGCACUCCACACCCCUGUCGGGCCAAUCUGGCAUCGUCACCCCGGCCGCACUAACACCAUCCCGGCCAUGCAGACUAGUCGCCGGUGCUGACGUGUGUGAGCGGAGCAGGGGGACCGGUCGGCGACGAGAUCGCAUUGAUGGCGCCCCGCCCCCGGCGUUUGCAUAUGCCCCCUAUGGUUAGCAUGCAUGAUCCCGCUGCACGUGGGCGGAUGCCUGUUUUGGGAACUCCUGUGGCCUGGGUGCAGGCCCACCGCCACUGGUAGGUGCACUAUCACCUCGUGAUGUGCGCGGUCUGAAUUUUCGCAGAUGGGAAUCUUUAUUAUUUUUUUUUCUCCGGUCAUUUUCUCUUUCUCAAAGGCUCAAAGCAAUUGUGGAGUGGCUGGAGUAUGUUGUUUUUCUCUGAUGAUUUUAUUUUUAAAAAAAGAAUGAAGAGUCCUUUUCCAACUCCAAUAAUUACGAAAAGCAGCAUGGGCUACCAUAGCAAGCAAUGCAAAAUGAUAUGAAUGCUUCUAGUGCCCCCAAAAAGGUGAUAUGAGAUGAGAUGAGGCUCGUGCGUACGAUCGGAUACUGAUGGGGGGGGGGGGGGNNNNNNNNNNNNNNNNNNNNNNNNNNNNNNNNNNNNNNNNNNNNNNNNNNNNNNNNNNNNNNNNNNNNNNNNNNNNNNNNNNNNNNNNNNNNNNNNNNNNGAGGUGCACGGCAUGCGUUUAGUAGGCAACGAAUAAGAGUAUGAUCAGAGUGAAAAGUUCGGGUGAGGACAAAGAAGCAAAAUGCAUAGUAUCUCUAAUCUUGAGGUUGUUGUGUCAACAUAGAUUUUGAUCAAACUCUCGAGCUGCAGUACCUUAUUAUACUCCAAAGUAAGGUGACAUAGAGGGUGUAUGGUUCCCACCUGUCCAUAAUAGCACCUGUCACAUAGAAGGUUUAGAUACUUAUUAGAAGUAUUAAACAUAGACUAUUUACAAAACCCAUUGAGCAAAUGGAGGCAAGGGGGCAAGACGAAUCUAUUAAGCCUAAUUAGUCCAUGAUUUGACAAUGUGCUGCCACAGUAACCAUUUGCUAAUGAUGGAUUAAUUUGGGGGGGGGGGGGGGCGGCGCGGGUUCAACCGAUUACUCAAUAAAAUCAUUGAAUGGUCAGCGCGCAUGAUUAAUUCAGAUUAUAUUUUUGAACGUAAUUACUGCAGAUGUAUAUCGGCAUGUGUGUGUGGUUUUGCAUGCACGUCCUGACGUCCAUACAUGUACGUACCGACUUUCGUGCACGCCUAAUCUCUUUGUUCGUAUAUCAGCGAAACGCGAGAGCUGACUAUUCACGCUUUGCACAGUACCCAGUGAGUUAGAUGACUCGCGCAGCGACAAGCUCCUCGCGCAUGCACUUGCUAGUUGCUACUGCACGAGCCCAUGCUAUUCUUCAAAAUGUACAUCAGAACCUCCUCCGUUGGGGGUCCUGUUUCGAAACGUGUCUACAUCGAGGCGAGAAUGCUCUAACCACCUAAGUUCGUUUGAGUACUCGUUUGGCUAGUCUAAACUAUUAUUCCCUUCAUUUUAAAUUAUAAUCUAUUUUAGCUUUUUUUAAGAUAUAUAAUUAUUAUUAUGUAGUCUAACGUAUUAUAUAUGUAUAGUAAAAAUUAUGUAUGUUAAAAAAUCAAAACGAUGUACGAUUUGGAACGAGGAGUACACAACUAGCACGCCUAGAUAAUGACUACAUACUUAUCAUCACUUAUCUGUUAACCACCCGGCCAUAAGUAUACAAAUCCAUGCGGUGAAAAUGGAUGGCUUGGGAGGAGGCCACGGUUACUCUAAUCCAGUGGCUGGAUCGGAUCACUAUGGCAGCGAUCUGUCUAGGUCAACCAUACUACGUGUUAGCGCCAGCCGUAGCAUCGUUUUCUCUCUCGUCACGGCCUCACGGGCAGCGACGAGGUACGCCUAGCAGGAAAGAAGUGAAAAAAAAUGAGAAAAGAAGAAGCACGAGGCCGGCAAGCGGAUACUCCAAGUGUUAAAGUUUAACACCCGUCACAUCGGAUGUUUGGAUGCUAAUUAAGAGUAUUAAACAUAGGCUAAUUACAAAACUAAUUGCAUAGAUGGAGUGUAAUUCGCGAGACGAAUCUAUUAAGCCUAAUUAGUCCAUGAUUUGACAAUGUGGUGCUACAGUAACCAUUUGCUAAUGAUGGAUUAAUUAGGCUUAAUAGAUUCGUCUCGCGAAUUAGCACAGGGUUCUGCAAUUAGUUUUAUAAUUAGCUCAUAUUUAGUUCUUCUAAUUAGCAUCCGAACAUCCGAUGUGACACUGUUAAAGUUUAACACAUCGUAUCCAAACACCCCCUUACUGGUCGAUAACUAUCCUAGGACGUUGCCGUAGCACAGCGUCCAAUCGCGACGUCGACGGACAAGGACACGGGCCGUCCGUUUGUCAGAUGGAUGGGUGGAUGGUCGGAUGGAGGAUAUGGCUCUGGGAUUGACGAAACCAGUCGCUGCUUUAGUGUAAUUCGAGCACAUGUGCACCGUCACGUCUGAAUCAUCAUCGCCAUCGCCCCCUUCUCUGGCCUGCAUAUUUUCCGGUCAUCGCCUCUGUGAGAGGCCCAGGCCUGCAGGCCUCUGCUCUGCCGUGCGGUCAGGGACGGACUAGUCGUGUGGCAAGAGUCACAUGCGCCGAGCUGAGCAACAUUAACGAAUACGUGUGCCGAGUUGGUGCUCCAUGUGCAUGCGUACCUGGAUUUGAUCGCCGACGUUGACGAUGAAGGCGUCGGGCACGGGGUCGACGGUGACCCAGGCGCCGCGGCGGCGGACCUGGAGGCCCCGGACGCGGUCGUCGGCGAGGAGCACGGUCAUGCCGCCGGGGUCCGAGUGGGAGGAGAGGCCCAGCGUCAGCUCCGGCUGCGGGCACCGCGGGUAGUAGUUCACCCGCACGCACACCCCGGCGCCCUCCGCGCCGCCGAACGCCUCGUGCAGCCGCGACGGCGCCACACCCAGCCCCAGAGACAUCGCCGUCAUCAGGCGACCGCACAGCGCCGCCACCUCCCGGCUGUACUCCUCCGUCGUCCCUCUGCAGCCGUAGAUUUGAUGCAUGCUUCGCAUCAUCAGCCGGACAAAGCAUACAGUAUAGAAAAUAAAAUUUAUACUAGCCUAUCCGUAUCCGUUCAAGAUCGUUUUAACUUUUCUAUAUUUAUAAAUAUUAUUAUGCAUUUAAACGUACACUGUGUACUCCGUACACAGUUAUUAGGGCUGUACAAGUACGUGUAUAUGGGGCAUGCGUAUGCAAUCGACCUGAGUUCGGGAGGGAGGUAGGGCCACUUGUCGGGGUCGGAGAGGUGAGGCGGGCGGACGUGGAGGAAGUAGUAGUCGCCCCAGUCGAGGACGGCGCCCUUCUCCACGCCCAGCCGGCUGCCGUACCCCUCGUACGUCGCCGGCGAGUUGGCGUACCGCUGCUUCACCUCCAUGGGCUGCCGGAAGAAGCCGCGCCACACGCCGCGCGCGCGACGGAGGAGCUCCGCCGGCACGCCGUGGUUCACCGCCUGGAAGAAGCCCCAGUCGCGGCACGCCUCCGACACCGCACGCACCGUCGCCGGGUCGCCCGGCGACGACAGGUCCACCACCGGGAUACCCACCUCCGUAGCCGCCGUCGCCGCUCCAUCGUCCGCCAGCGCCGUCGCCGGGCGCUCCGCCUCAGGCUUGACGUAGCGGUCCGGGAUGGUGGCGGCGCCGCUCUCCGACAGCGACUGCACCCGCACCACCGGCUCCGGCCACCCGGCUCCCGCGCCUUCCAUGCUAUGAGACACGACGACCUCAGCUCAGCUCUAUGACCGCCGGCGCCUACCUCUGCUCACUCUCGUUGGGAUGCUUCUUCUUCUCGCCCUUGGAGUGCUGCACUUAUAGCUGUCCAGUGACGACGUACUAGAGCUUAGCUUGUGGCUGCCUACCUACCUGCCUAGCAAGAGCUCGAAGAAAGAUGAUGCAUCAUGGGACGACAAAACUAGCUGAGGCGGCGAGAUUGAUGAGCUAGCUUACUAGCGAGCUGAGGCACAUGAAUGGUGUGUGACGAGUUCUAGGAAUCAACAGGGGAUUUGCUUGCUUGAUCACAGAAGUGAUGAUGAUGAUGAUAGAGCACGUACAUAAACAAUACUCCUGGAGUGGAGAAGAUGAGCUAAGAGAAGAUGGCGAGCGAGAGGACAGGUUGCGGCUUGGAAUUGGAAGGGCCCGCGUGCGCUAUAGUGCUAUUUAUAUAUUUUGGCCGGCAGUUUAGCUGAUGCAUGAUCACCGGUCUAAACUACUGCUGCUGCUAAUUAAUCGGAUAGUAGUAAUAGUUUAUUCCGUGUAGUGCUGCUGAUGCCGCAGGCGAUGACAUAGCAAACGUGACUGAAACAUAAUUCCGUUGAGCAUGUGGUACGGUGCCACUGCUCCGCAGGUCCACCGAUGUGACGUACAGUACCCUCGUAGAGGAUGGUGCUUACGGGGUAUGUACUCGAUGGUACAGCUAGGACUAGGAGGACCCAGCAGAGCACGCCGCCUGGCCCACCAUGUGUGAUUGUACGCUUCAGCAUCACUACGUAUACAUCGUGUAGGACGGUGACACGGUCUAGCGCUCUAGCUAGGAUCACACGUGACCGUUAUUCUCUCCUUUUUUAUUGCCUCUAGCCCAUUAGUUGAAAUUAAACUCAGUAAAUUGACCACCUCCGUUCUAAAUUGUAGGUUAUUUUAACUUUUCUAGAUCAUAAAUAUUAUUAUGUAUCUAAACAUACAUUAUAUUAUAUCUAGAUGCAUAACUUAGAAAAGUUAAAACACCCUUAAAAAACGAUUCGAAACGGAGGGAGCACGUGACAAUUCAAAUGGUCGUACCUGGCCUGGUGAAGUGGUGAUCAAUUUUGUCGCGCUUUACAGGGCCUGCUACUACUUUUGUAGCGCUAGCUGGCCCAUGGACUUUUCUUUCUCAAUCAAGCCCAUGCAUGCGGUCCACGAAAUUUCUGCUAGGAAAUUGCAGCACAGAGUCAGAAGAGUCCUCCAGCCAGGACCAGGAUGUGCAGAGGGCCGGUUCCGAUGUGCAGGUUGGCAAAUUUUUACGGGAAAAUAUGCCUUACCCAUCUAGGGUCUUGUUUAGUUCCUAAUUUGGGGUGGCAAAAUUGAUAUUUUACCAUAAAUGCGCAAUUAUAGUAUUUCGUUUGUAUUUGUAAAUUAUUAUCCAAAUAUUGACUAAUUAGGCUCAAAAGAUUCAUCUCGCAAAGUACAACAAAACUGUGCAAUUAGUUUUUGAUUUCGUCUACAUUUAGUACUCCAUGCAUAUACCGCAAGUUUGAUGUGAUGGGGAAUCUUCUUUUUGCAUAGUGCUAAAGUUGGGAUUUUGGAGGAACUAAACAGGCCCUAGAGCAUCUUCUUCAACAAUCCCUGAACCUACUCAGGCAUGGCCUCCUUGCGCGCGCAGCAUCGGGAUCAUCGAAGCAGGGAAGUAAGGGAAGAGAUCGGAAACCGGGCGUGCGUCCACAAAAAGUAAAUCGAAAAUAUAAUGGUAAAAUCAAACCUCCAAAAGAAAAAAUAAAGUAACUUUGAUCUGAUCCUGAUCGAGUUGUUGAUCUGUUCCUUCUCGCGCGGGAGGAUGCACCUGUCCAACUCUAUCGUGGACAUAGGUGAAGAGAAGGGAAGGCAAUCAUUCUCCAGUCUCCACGUAACCAGCCGUGUUUGGCAGGACGCGUUCCAGGUCAAAGUUUGCAUCCAAUUAAUGUAAUCUCAAUCUCCUCGAUGGAUAGAUCGGCCGAUAGCAUGUCGUCGUCAGUACUCGGUACGUACUUGCCGAUCGAUCUAUCUGAGUCAGGUCAGUGACUCAGUGAGUGAGAGUGACAAUUCACGAGAGCUCCGGUAGCUAGUUCAGCUGCGAUCGAUUUGCAUCCAGCUUGUGGGUAGCUAGCAUCGUUAUAUGUGUGCAGUAAAGCGUCGGCGUCAUUUGCAGAAAUGCAAUGCGCCAGCACCAUCUUAGCCGCUAGUCAUGGAUCGUGAGCAUGGUGGUACCAUCAUAGUUACGUGCUUGGGCUGGCUCUACGAUGGAGAUCCUUUGCGCGGUGUCCUUGAUCGUACAAGCUGUGCCGACUUGUGCCAGCACCCAGCAGUAGUCAAUUAGUUGGUGGAUGAUGUGCCUUCGAUGGCACCCGUGUCCAAAAUGCGAGGGUGUCUUGGGCUUUGUUGAUGAGAACCGCCUCAACGGGCAUCUAUGCUUCGACUGCUGGGCCUUGUUGGCCCAGUUACCUUUGAGAAUCCUUUGUCGCCUCUAAUGAAGAUCCGCACCGCAACAGAGAUAAUGGCAUAAUUCAUGCAUUUGUACUUUGUUCUAUGAUGAUGAUGUGUUAACAGUGGGUUUCACCUACCCACCGGUACAUCCGAUAGCAAUAUAAGCCGUUCACCCCCAAAUCCCAACUUUGACACUAUGCAAAAAGAAGAUUCCCAUCACAUCAAACUUGCAGUACAUGCAUGGAGUACUAAAUGUAGACGAAAUUAAAAAGUAAUUGCAUAGUUUUGUUGUACUUUGCGAGACGAAUCUUUUGAGCCUAAUUAGUCAAUGUUGGAUAAUAAUUCACAAAUACAAACGAAACGCUACAGUGUGCUACAGUGCUAGCACAGUAAUUUUGGUACUCCAAAUUUUGGCAACUAAACAAGGCCUAAGCAUUAGGUGCACCUCUGGUACGGCCCGCAACAAACUGCUACGGGGUCCUUCCUUUCCUUGGGCUCCCCGUCCCAUCACCACCACGGCGGCACGGCGCCCUGCUGUGCUCCGCCCUGUGAGAGGUAAAAUGAGAGAAAAACGUUGUUGGUGGCUAAUAAGCCGGCUGAAUAAGUUGAAGCGAACAGGCUCGUUAUUUUUGAUCCGCCAGCUGUUCAUUCCAAUAGCCUCUCCUCUGCACACCGCUGCAUGUCAGCAUGCCGGCCAAUCUCUCACUCGUAUAGAUAAGGUAAGGAUGAACUGAUCAAGCAAGGAGCUGCUGCUACCGUGCCGUAGUAGUAGCGUUUCGUCAACCUGUUGCUCAGGUGCGGUCCCCUCGUGUCCUAGGCGAUCGUCAACCAGUGGCUCAGGUGCGGCUUGACGAAUACGAUCCAUCCGACGCCAGCGCGUGGGACAACACUGCAGGACGCGUUACUGAUGGGGUGCGUCAGGCGCUGAUCAGCGACGACAAGCAGGAGUAGCGCGGGGAUUCUGCCUCCGAGAAUCGGAUCGUGCGGCCAUGCGGGUGCAGGGCCGGGGCUAGGGGCCGGAGACGUACGUACGUGCUCCAAGCGUCCGUGUGGUGACCGCCUCUGCCUGUGCCGGCGGUGGGGCUGUGGCCGGCCGGCUGCUUGCAGCAGGGGGCGCGCCGGCCACGACUCGCGAUCGGGACGACGUGCUCCGGUGUCCGUCCGCCCGGCGAGACGUUUCGUUCCGUAGUCGGACCCGGAGCAGCGCUUGUCACUCGUCGAAGUAGCUGCACAGUACAGCGCGGUGGCGGUGCACCGCCUACGCAUAUGCUUGCAGGGCCAUCUGCCGGGCGCCUGGGACUGGCCGUGGCAGGCCGCCACGCCACCACUUGAGGCGCGUUUGGCAGCUUGGACCGCCUCAGCCUGGCCCGCGAGCUAGGAUCGAACCAGAUUCAUGGUGUGCAGAGAUAUUGGUUAACAAAUCUGCAGCUCAUGAUUGGGCUCAGAUUGCGUUUGUUAGACUGUGGGUGGGCAUACCUUGCAUCCCGUCAAUGGUGGACUUACCACCGCUUGCUCGUGCCAUCGCUGCCGCGCUCGCCCUGCGCCGCGGCCGCCCGCACCCGCUGCUCCAUCUCCUCGAGUUUCCUGCGGGCUUCGGGCCGGAGCUACACGGUGAACGUCUCGCCGGCCACGGCGGUCGCGAGGUGCUCAAGGUCACGCACGGCGCAGCGCUGCACGGGGGACGCGGUCGUCGUCCAUCGCCCCCACCCUCCAUAGCACCGCCACGUCGACCUCGACCCCGUGCUUGCCUGCAGCUCUAUCCUGGAAAUCCUCUCGUUCACUCUAAGCAGGCAUCCCAAAUGCUUCCGCCUUCAUGGCAAUAGCCUCCGGUGUUCCUCUGAAGCAAUUUGAUUCGAUCUACGUGCGCGAGUGACAUGAGAAUUCAUGGUCAGCAUUCCAUUGCAGGCUUAGAAAAAAGACGAGCUCAAAUUCCAUUAUCCCAAGCAUCAAAAUGAAUUUCGGCAUCUUCAGGGAUGUCAAUUUGCUUUCUAGCUUUCACGGAUGCUUUCGCUAGUGGACAGGAGGGCCGCGGGUGCUAGCAAGGGAGGAGGGGGUCGCGGACGCUGGCUGCGGGGAUGGGGUCCUCUGCGCUCCGCUGCGGACCCUCAUGCGCCUCCGAGCGCCGUCGCGGGCCUCCGCUUGCCCCGCGCCUCCGAGCUCCGUCGCGGGCCUCGCGCCUCCGGCGCUGCCGCAGUCCUGCACGCCGGUCACCGCUAUAGCCUCCGCACGUUAAGUGAGGUAAAAACAAGCGACCGAUGGUCACCACAACUAGUGAUUCGAGCAUGCACCUAUCAAUUUUGACAUUCCACGUGGUACAAGCUGACUGCCUACUUUUAUAUCUGCUGGAUCUGGCCCGUAACUUUAUCCACGCUACCUAAUAAAGCCUUGUUUAGUUACCUCAAAAUCCCAACUUUAGCACUAUACAAAAAGAAGAUUUCCCAUCACAUCAAAUUUACGGUACAUGCAUGGAGUAUUGAAUGUAGACGGAAUCAAAAACGAAUUGCACAGUUUGGUUGUACUUUGCAAGACGAAUCUUUUAAGCCUAAUUAGUUAAUAUUUGAAUAAUAAUUUACAAAUAUAAAUACAGUAUGCUAAAGACGCAGUGAUUUUGGAAAUGGGGCAACAAGGCCAGAGUGUAUCAACUGGCCUGACCCGACCUCCGUCUGAGCUGCCAAACGGCCCUUGCUGUCCCUCCCUGUGCCAAGUGCCAACUGCCCAGAAACAUGGGGACGGUAGUCAACCCCGACCCCCCCCGGCCGCCGGUUCGGUAACCGGUAGCCUCUCAAAUCUGACGCGCAGAUGCGGUAGCCCUCACUGGUCCCCCGGCCCCUCCGACACAUCCUCCUUAAACUACUCCGUUCGUCAACUUGGAUCUGCCGCCGCGCGCGCAUCAGCCGAUCAGGAUCAGGUGUGCCCUAAAGUGCUUCUUCCUUUUUGCCGUCCCGUCGGCGCUCCACGGCAGUACAGUAACCGGCAAGCAACCAAGAGCAGCAACCGGCGUGCCCGGCAGCCCGGCCGGCCCAUGCCUCUGGAGCAGCACGUACGAGCUAGCGCGUCGUCGAUGAGCAAAUCAACGGAGAGAAUGACGGCUAGCCAAACGCUCUUUCACUUCUCCGCCUUACGCCCACCAGCCGAGAAGCUCCCCAGAUUCACCUCGAUUCCGGCCCCAUCCCUCCCUUCCUCCGGCGUCCUCGCCGGCGGUGAGGGGGAGGUGGGCCGGGCCCCCUGCUCUCGUAGACUUUAGUAUAGUUAGUUUAAGUUGCAGCUUAGUUUUGCUCGGAUGGGCACCAGCCGGCAGCUUCGUUCCUGCCGCCUCUCCCUUGUUGCCGUCGCCGUGGUCUUGCUCGUCGCCGGUGACCUCAACAACAAGGUGAGUAUAAAUAAAAUAAAUCCUCCCACCCUCUACUUCGUCCGAGCAGAUUCCCCCACCAUCAUCUCCAUUCGCUUCCGUUUGGAUUUGCUCGCCCCUUUCAUCGAUUCGGUCGAUUUCGCUACGGGUCCGGCUGCUUGCAGUCCUCCCCUCGGAUUCUUCCGUCGUCUCCCCCGCUUACCACCUCCAUCAACACCCUUGGUCUGCGGCAGCAGUUCUCCACCAAGUCCCUGCACGCCAACUGGGCCAACAUCCUCCUUGUCACCGCAGUUCGUUCUGCUAGCCGGCCACUCUGGGUUUGUUGGAAGCUGCCUCUCUACCCUCCGUCGACUGCUCCAACUACAUCUUUGGUUCGCCGGAGUUGUCUUUCAUCGAUGCUUCAAACCCGCCUUGGAUGGGCUGGACGACGGCGAGUUCGGUGCUAAUCUUUCGCCGGCGUCUCCUGUCGCUGAGGUUCAGUCGCUGUGGACCCCAGUCUGGUGGGGCCCAUCCUGGCCUGUCAGGUUGACGAGCCUCGGCCGUGGAAAUGUCGGUGGUGCUGGAUACGUAUGCCCACGUGUUGGCCAUGCAAGCUCAAGCUCUGGUUGCAGUCAACGUUUGAAUAUUUCUCGGCAACAUCUAUUUUUCGAAGUGCCGAUUAUAUUAAAAAAAAUAAAAGCAAACAACAAAGAAACAACAAAGAAACUUGGAUUGGGGCAUCAACUCGCACCGUACCACACCAACACACAACAUCUACUGGUUGGAUUGGAACAUCAACCGGAUCUCUCUCAACUCUGUCGGUUGGAUUGGGACAUCGACAUGAGCCUCAACGAAGGCUCCACCCGGUCGGAUUGGGACAUCGACACGAGCCACCACACCACCAGCACCACAGACGGGAAUUUUUUUUUAAUAAGGAAAGAGAAGGAAAGGAAAAGAAAGAAAGCAGUCCCUCAGGAGCCACCAUCACCGAAGCAAGCCGCCUCGUCAGGAGUGCUUGACAUCGUCUUCAAGAAGGUCGAGACAUCGAAGAUAUCGUCGAUGCCAGCCCAAAUUGGGUUGGGUUUUCACCCGCGUCGUCCGACAUGGAAGCCAAACAGGAGCCAAGGCUCGCGUAAGAGAUGCUCGACGUCGCCUUCAAAAAGGAUAUGACGCCAAUAGCGCCAUCGACACCAUCCCAAGGAGGGAUGGGUUUACACCCGCAUCGUCACCACGGUGUAAAGAAAUGGUCGGCGACUAGCCCCACCACCAUGGCGCUGCUGGUGAGCCUCCGCACGGUCGCAGUCAACGACACCACCACAACGACGCUGGGAUGCGCCCGAGCACACCGUUGUCGGCCACACCACCACGGCACCACUGACACACCGCUACACAGCACCUUGAAGCCCGGCCGCCGCAGGAGCAGGCCGCGACACGAAUGCGGGCGCCGCCGCAGCCAGUCCUCGCGCGCCGCCACGGCUGGGCACAUCCACUGCUGCCUGGAGGUAGCCGCCACGUGCCUACUGCAAGCACCGUAUCCAAGCCACGCCCGCACCUGCCGCCGACACCGUGUUAGCCGAGCCACGCCGCCCGAGCUGCAGGCACAGCACCGCCGGCGACCAGGCAAAGCUUUGCUAGCGUGGGAGGCCGCCGUAGCCGGGCCUACCGCCGCCAUCGCAAUCUCCGAUGCGUCAAGGCACCAGGGAAGCAGAUCCGGUGGCUGGAGGUGCGGAUCUGAUCGCGGCCGGCCGCACCUCCACCAUGGGCGCCACCAGGGAGAGUGCGAGGGGGAGGAAAGGAGAGGAGGAGGGAGGUGAAGCCCCGUUGUCACCUUCCUUGCGACCGCGCGGGCUUCUGACGGCCACUCGGAUGACGGCGAGGAGGGGAGGCGGCGCUGGAAGGGGCGACGGCGGCGGCCCGAGCCGUCCCAAGGAGGGCGACGCGGGCGUCUCGGUUGGAGAAAGUGUGUUACUUUUUCUCGGCAACAUCGCAACCAUGAAAACUUGAGAGGGGCACAGUUCAUAUCACUUCAUCGUGAUGUCCGUUGCUCGUCUUCAGCAGCCCAAAGCUCAACCGUGUCAGGCCAUCUUCGAUUUCAUCGUCGACGUCCUCGCAACAAGCCACCUCCCGGUCUUGAGGAUGAAGUUCAAGUACACUCCAUUGACUAUUUCAAAAAUAUUUUUAGCUCGGUGGAGAAGAAGAGCCUCGUCGACUUCCUCGGCCUCUCCGACGCAUACGCGGUCCCCUUCGGCAAGCUGUUCAUCGGCAUCGUCGGUGCUCUCGUUGAUUGUUCUCCCUUGGGACCUUGAUGUAACUCAGGGGCGUUUGAUUUCUCGAGCUAAAGUUUAGUCCGUGUCACAUCGAAUAUUUGGAGGCUAAUUUGAAGGACUAAAUAUGAGUUAAUUACAAAACUAAUUGCACAUAUGGAGGCUAAACAACGAGACAAAUCUAUUAAGUCUAAUUAAUCCAUCAUUAGCAAAUGGUUACUGUAGCACCACAUUGUCAAAUCAUGAACUAAUUAGGCUUAAUAGAUUCGUCUCGCGAAUUAGACUCCAUCUGUGCAAUUAGUUUUAUAAUUAGACUAUAUUUAAUACUCCUAAUUAGUAUCCAAACAUCCGAUGUGAUAGGUACUAAAGUUUAGGGAGGUGUAUCCAAACACCCCUAAAUUCAUUUGCAAGCACUGUUCACCUUCACCGUAGCAUCCGCUGCUGUCACAUUUGCAAGCACUGUAGUAGGUGAGGGCGUACACCACUGUUCCCGUGAUCCCAUCUCAUGAAGCCUAGCAUUCGCAUUCUGUUAGAGGGUCAGAUAGAGACUAAUUGACGAGACGAAUCUAUUAAAUCUAAUUAGUUCAUGAUUUGACAAUAUGUUGUUGCAGUAAAUAUGUGCUAAUGAUAUAUUAAUUAGGUUUAAUAGAUUCGUCUCGUGAAUUAGCUUCCAUCCAUGUAAUUAGUUUUAUAAUUAGAUCAUAUUUAAUCCUCAUUAAUUAAUGUUUGAAUAUUCGAUGUGAUAUAAAUUUUAGUCCGAAUUUUACUCCGACCUAAAGAACCCAACGCCUCUGGUCGAGCAAGUCAGAGCUAUAGUUACGUGCGUGAGUACACACUGCAGUCUUGAAUUCCUUAUACUGGCCCCACCGUCUCCCUCCAGCUCCGACCCAAUUCUCCUCCAUCCAUCGCUUGUCAACCUCUGCCGUCUGGUUGGUUGGUGGCUCUGACGACGCGCUUGACAAUCCGGCGCCAGAGCAGCGCGUGCGGCGUGAGGCCAAUCGACGCGACUACGGUAGCGUACUAGCGUUUGGUUCAGGAGCAGACCAGGACGGAGCCGUCCCGGCCCGCGUUUUUUUUAACGAGCCAGUAGUAGUUUUUUUUUUAACGAGCCAGCAGUGCUGCUGUUAUAUUAAAAUAGAAAAAAGCUCAACAGUGGAAACAAAGGAAAGUUCUGUGCACUCAUACCCCGAAUAACGGUCGGGAAAACGAAAAAAAGAGGGCUCGCUGUGGCUAAUUAAUGACGCCGGUCAGCAUAAAUGAAGGACUCUAAAUGUUUAGCUCCUGCCGCAGUUGAUGUAGCCACUUGAUGUUUUAUCUUGGCAACUAUGUGACUAUUUGUUUGUUCCUGACAUUGAAAAAUUCACGCAUUUCGUUCUGUCCAAAUCUCCCACAACACAAGAAUAAUUAGGCUUCGUAGCCCUUUUCGAUAGACCAUCUGUGCACCCCGCGUUUGCUUCAGGAGCGGAUAGAAUGAAGCGGCUCUCGGUAGGAAUAUUCCUAUAGAUUUUGGGACAAGUCAUCCCGAAGAAAGAGCUGGACGAGCUCAUCCCAUUCGGACGGUGUGAGCUCCGUCUCGUGGGAAGCAGGCACGGGCGCGUAGCUCGGGCUGGCUGCGACCAUUGCCGUCUGGUUGCACGGCUGGGAGGUAGAAGAAGGGGUGCGGAUGGCAGAUGGAGGUGCGGAUAGGGGUGACCUAUGCUGGACGAAGGGGCCGACGCUCCUCGUGCUUAUGCCGGCCCAAGCGCUGCUGCCAACGUGGAUCCAGACGAGGCAAGGGCAGCCGGAGCUAUUGCACACGGGGGCGUCGAGCAACUGCUGGCGGCUGGGCGCGAACCGGACGAAGCAUGGUUGGGGCCGCGCGAUCGGAGCAGCUGCAGGCAGCGGGGCGGUUGCUGCGUGUGUGCUGUAGGUGCAGGGGCGGUGGGAGGAAGAAGAUAAGGGAAGGAGCGGUUGUUUUAGUGACAGUUGGAACCCACACGACGGACAUUAACAGAGUCUGUUACCUCUUCAUCCUCAUUAAUUCAACCAAACACAAAAGUGAAACCGCUCCAUCUCUCUAACUAAAUACAGACAUGGUGUGGCUCCAUCCUAAAAUAGAGAUGUAAUCGUUCCAUCCUACAUCGCUCUCCAACCAAACACACCCUACGAGUCUACGGGCGUACUCCGUAUGUAUCGUGGGUGCGUCGAUGACCGACGACCAUCCGGCAUCCAGGUCCGCAAACCGGGAGCACGCAGCGAAUUUAUACAUGCGUCCAGGUCCAGGCAAGAAAAAAAGCAGGAAUAAUCCUGCUUUGAUUGGUCGUCAACUCGGUUUCUCUUUUACGACGUUGGUCCUCCAUUUCUGGCGUCAUGUAUCACCAAACGCAAGAUGGUUUGAGCGGAACAAACGGCUUUUUUUUACCAAUAAUAAUACUACUAUGCUAGAAUUUACUUUUGGGUUCAGCAGAUAAGCUUGUUUCGGCUAAAUUUUAACGAAAUCAUACCAUAUUAUUUACGAAAUGGGCACGUCCACUCUGACUCCAGAAGACCAGAGCACAAUUCCAUUUGGAUCUCAUGUGUCCUCGUAAAGAAAAAAAAAUUAAAGAGUCAAAACGCGCGCCAAGUGUCGCCCUGCCGUGCGUGCCGUACGUACGCGCACCAAACGUGCAUCGUCGAUCGUACCCGCAGGCCGCAGCAUCAUCAGCAAUCCGAUCCAUACCGGAUCGCUACGCGUCGAUCACGUCCGAUACCUAUCAUUCCGUCGAUCCCCGUUGGAACACGCACGGCCACGCCAUGGCCGGUUGCCAGCACGCAACACCCUGCAAUCAUGCCGCUCCGGCCGGCCGGAGUCCCGCCACCCGGCCGCGUACGCGGGAGGCUCCAAGCCUCCAACAAAUGGUGGCUGCCUGCCUGUUCCUGGGCCUGUUGCUUGCAGCGCAGGCCACGACCCGUCGCCGUCGCGGGCCGCCAUCUGGACGAGCUGAACGCGACAAACGGACAAGCUGCCGCAGGAGGAAAAAUAAAAUCGGGAGACCGCGAUCUGGAGAUGCUUCGCAGCAAAGGAAGACUCCCGUCGACGGACGGGAUCGGGCUUGCUCCUUACGACGCGCUGGCGUCCGCGUGACGCCACACCCCACGGAGACCGUGGGGCCCGCUACCACGCCGCGGGCCCACCGCAGGCAGGCGCGCCGGAUCCUUUGUGAGCGCCGCCGGCCCGCGCCAUACUACUACGGCGGCUCGAUGACAGUCGUAAUGGCGACGGUAACGAGAGGAAUCUUCUAGAGACCCCUUUUGUGGGAUUAUUGAUGCAUACAGCCGGGGGGCAAGCAAAACAUACGGUGGUGCACGCAUAUACUAUGGACUACUAAUUUCAGUUGCUUAUUAGACUGCUCGAAAUACCGCAAGGGGCUAGAAUUUUGUUUCAUGCCAUGCACAUGGUUUAGCUCUUAAAAAUAAAUAAUUGCUUGAUCAUGACCCUACAAUUUGUAGUUUUGAGUACUAAAACUUAUGGGGAAUGUUUGGUUCCAUUAGACCAUGGCAUUUGAGAAGAAAAAACAUCAAUAUCCUAUAAACAUAAAAAAUAAAAACUCAUUGAACAUCAACCCACCUCGCACAUAACGAAAAUCAUAUGACGAUAUGACGAAUUGGAUGAGCGACGUCUCAUCAACUGAUGACUAAUUUCAAGCAUCAUUCUAACCUUAGCAGUGCAGCAACAAGCUUCACUCUGGUAAGUUGUGGGUUGCAAGUCAAUAGCAUUCAAACACUAAAGGUUAUGAUUGUUGGAUUUAUUUUCUAGCGUGAUUGCUAGUUCAAUUUUCCACCUAUAUUGGUUGAAUAUGAGUGCAACCGACGCAAUUAAUGGUUGGCCUCAACGUAAUCGUUGUGAUGUUGGUCAUGGCAUGCAUUAAUUGUUAUGGCUACCAAAGGUACUGGUGAGAUAAGAUAUGCUUUCUAUUUUCUCGAGUUGUCAUCCAUCCGUAAUACGAUCAUGCAUGACAUAUAAUUUCUAGGCCAUGUUUAGUUACUCCCAACUCCCAACUUUGACACUAUGCAAAAAGAAGAUUCCCCAUCACAUCAAACUUGCGGUACAUGCAUGGAGUACUAAAUGUAGAUGAAAUUAAAAACUAAUUGCACAGUUUUGUUGUACUUUGCGAGACGAAUCUUUUGAGCCUAAUUAGUCAAUAUUUGGACAAUAAUUCACAAAUACAAACGAAACGCUACAGUGUGCUACAGUGCUGUAACAGUAAUUUAGCACCCCCAAAUUCGCCAAACUAAACACGGCCCUAGUUCUUUGUGAUGGCUUAUUGGUCAAAUCUUACAUCAUUUUCAUUAGAGAGCUGCAUAAUAAGUCAAGCCUACAAUGUUAAGGAUUCAUCAAUGGAUUCGUGCUAGGAGGGUGGUACCUCUAUCAUGUUGGACUCCAAAAUUCUAACAACUGAGACCAUCGUUGCCACCAACACAAAAUAGGAUUUAGACCUUAACACAAACAUGAAGUACCAUAUCUCACAUCGCUGCACAUCGACAAUUGAGGGCAGGAGGUUGUGUUGUGCCUUGGGUAGCGGGGAAUCAAAGCGGAGCGCGGCGCAGAGGAUCCAGAUCUCGGAAGGAAAGCAAUAUGAAAGCAAGCCGUUUCCGCGUUGAAACCCAACAGAUUUCCUCUUUCAAUCCCAGCCAAGCCAAAGCCAACCCUCUUGACUUCCAUUCCAUCCCACCCCCUGACCUGACCGCCCGCGCCACUUUGCCAUCCCUGCCCUCGCCUCGCGUCCAAAUCCAUUCCCAUCCCACCACCGCCCUCCGAUCCGCCAUGGAUCCCUUCCACCACCUCAACACCUCCUUCUCCAACCCCCUACCACCCGCUGCUCUCCCCCUCCCCGCCCCACCACCCCCACUUCCCUCCCCUCCCGCCGCCCCCGCCCCCGCCGCUUCCCCCGCCCGCCGACCCGGCGCCGCAGCUGCAGCCCUCCGCAAGCCUCGAGCGGGAGCGCCUGCCGCAGUGGUCCCACGCCGAGACGGCCGCGUUCCUCGCCGUCCGCGCCGAGCUCGACCACUCCUUCCUCACCACCAAGCGCAACAAGGCGCUCUGGGAGGCCGUCUCCGCGCGCCUCCAGGGGCAGGGCUUCGCCCGCACCCCCGACCAGUGCAAGUCCAAGUGGAAGAACCUCGUCACCAGGUUCAAGGGCACCGAGGCCGCCGCCGCCGCCGCGCACCCGCCGCCGGACGCCGAUCCCGCGUCCGCCUCCGCCGCCGCGGCGCAGCAGGCCAGGCAGUUCCCGUUCCACGACGAGAUGAGGAGGAUCUUCGACGCUAGGGUCGAGCGGGCGCAAGCAUUGGAGAGGAAGAGGGCGAAGGGCAAAGACGUGCGGACGGAGGACGACGAAGGCGGCGGCGAGGGCGAGGACGACGACGAUGAGGAGGAGGAGCUCGAGGCGGAGGUGGGCGAGGAUGAGGCCGGCAGCAGGGUGGCCGCGGAGGCGAGGGGCGGCGGCGGGGCGAAGAAGCGCAGGCGGAAGCAGGCCGCGUCGGCGGCGCGGGAUAGGUCUGCAGAUCAGGGCAAGGUGGAGGCCAUGCUGCGGGAGUUCAUGCGGCGCCAGGUGGAGAUGGAAGAGCGCUGGAUGGAGGCGGCCGAGGCGCGGGAGGCCGAGCGCCGCGCUCGCGAGGAGGAGUGGCGCAACGCCAUGGUCGCGCUCGGCGAGGAGCGCCUCGCGCUCGUGCGCCGCUGGCGCGAGCGCGAGGACGCCUGGCGCGCGCGCGCCGAGGAGCGGGAGGAGCGCCGGCACCAGCUCGUCGCCGCACUGCUCGCCAAGCUCGGUGGCGAUUCCUCGUGAUCAAUCCUCGUCCAUCCGCACACUCACCGGUACGGAUCAAACCCACGCACUGCUACUCCCUGGUUAUCAUCUCAUCAGCUAGCAUUCAAACAGCGCUACCUCAACGCAUUGAUUGAGUGCUAAUGGAUCUAGUAAAUCUUCUGAUGGAGAACACUUGUUGGAUUCUUGCUCAGGAGCAACGAUGUUUCACCGCGAAGCGUGCAUCGGCCGGCUAGCUACCUUUAGAUGAUCACUAGUGCUCGAUCAAUGAUCUUUGUUGGUUAGGGUUUUUCUAGACAUCAGCUAGUGAGAGCAGGCCAGGAAAGAUGGCUGUACAUGUUCAGAUGGUGAAAAAGGGUUUAUUGCAGCUCAUGCAACCUUUGUUUAGCCAGCAGCCAUUAGCUAGCAGCUCUAGCGCUCUAGUCUCAUCAGUCUGGUCUCGUCAGCUUCAGGAGCUGGCUGAGCUUUCUGGCUUUCAACAAGUGCAUGGCAUGGCUGUAUCACAUCCCUUUGCAUGAUCAAUCGAUGUGCCUUCUCUCCCUGGUUCUUCAUAGAUCUCCCUCUCUCGUCUUUUCAAGAUGAUAUGUAGGAUCUCCCACCAUGGUCGGUUUAUGUGCUUUCCGUUCAGAAAUGGGUGCUUCAGCGUGAUGAUAUAUCUCUGCAGGACCUGUGUAGCUUUUGCGCGACAUGGUGUAGCUGCUAGAUCUUUCUUACUUUCUCUCUCUUUUCAGUUGCAUGGGUAAAGAUAUAUAUCACUAGCGAAAAGAGAUUUGCAUCUGAAAAGUUGUAGGACUAGCUAGUAUGAUCAGGAAAGAGAGGGCAUGGUGGAUACUGGAAGCACAUGGUUGCUGAUAGGGGUGCAGGCAGGCAGGCAGCUGCUUUGCUUUGCUUAUCCUACAGGGAGGGUAUUGAUGCCCUGGAUUCCUGUAUGGAUACAUUUGCAAAAAAUCAGAGGUGUCAGGCAGAAGCCAUUAGAUAGAACAGCACUGGAGGAUGGCUAGAUUGUGUAGUGCUUGUUUGCCUAAACAAUUUGGAGAUUGUUAAUUACAAGAUGAGCUCCCUAAUGAUGUGUGGACCGCGUGUCAUAGCAUGCAUCAUGGCUACCUGUAGACAAUGGGCGCAUGCCUGCGUGUGGUAUGAACCCAUAUGAGCAUGCACAGUGUGUACGUAGGAAAGUAGAGUAUGAAACCGCGUUGCAUAUGUGUGUACAUCUCAUAUCCAGCGUUCUCCCAAAAGUUGCUGGCCCUAUAUAUUAUGAGGCUUAGCUAGUUGGUCAAAUAAUAUAAUGUCAGGUUGUUUUUUAUAAUGUUUGCCUAUAUAUACACGGGUGAUGCCAUUUACUGGAGCUCUAUGUGUUUUUAUAAGGAAGAGAUAUCUAGAACUAACAUAUCAAGCAGAAUUGAUAUGGUUUGUGUGAAACCUUUGAUUGAAAGCCAAAAGAAAUCAAUUGCAUAUCAGACUCCGGGGGUUCAGUAUGUGCUAGCUGUAAACUUUAGUGCACACGCUACCUGCUAACAUUCCCCGAUAGUGCGUGUGGUCAUAACAACCGUUUGUUGGGGAAGUUGGUAGUAAACUAGUAACUGGCAUGACCAUGCAUACUGAAAAACAGAUUUGAGGAAAACAAACGUACAGUAGUCCUUAUAACAUUUCGUUUUCAGUUAUCUCUAUUUUUGUCCAGCCGCUCAGAUAUAUAAUGAAGUGACUAUUUGCAUCCCUCUUUUAUUGCAAGUUGUGUGAUCAUCGAUUUCACAGUAGUUUGUAUAUGAAUUAUUUGUGUAAGAAUAUAUCACCAUGACGAGCAAAGUGACAUAAGCAUAUAAUCUGUCCGUGACCUAAUAGUAUAUGUGUAAGCAAAUUGCCUACUAGUUGGUACUUGGUACGACAUGCUUUCUUGACAUGUCUUAUUCACUGUUCACUUUUGAUGAGCGUGCCCUUGAGUGUUCGCAAUGACAACAUUCAAUCAAAGGAUAUGUUGCUUGUUAGUAUUCCUUAUGGUUGUGGCCACAAUAUAACGCAAAUAAAUGCUUUUUUUAGUGAAAAUGUUAACAUUAAAAUAACACUAACUUUAUAUGUCAACAUUUUUUUCUACUUCAACUUUGAUAUUAUUUCCAGCCAAACUAGUAUCCUCUAGUUUACUCCCAACACUAAACAACAGAUAUAUUGUUUUUAGUAUGAAUUCAGCAAAUAUGUAUCCAUGCUUUUACAUGCAUCUGCUAUUGCUUUUGUGGCGUGAGGAAUUCAUGAUGUCAGUCUGAUUUCUGAUCACAUACUGGACAGAUUCUGCUGUAGUAAAUUAGACUAGCCACCUUAUUUCAGAUAGCACUAGUUCCAAAAGAACACUAGUGGCAAUUUCAUGGCAAUAUCAAAGAACAACCUUGCUACUUGGAGCAGUUGGAAACCUGUAAAAUAAGGCAUAUGUGUUGUACUGAAUGGAAAGAAAUUGACCAUAUAUACACCGAAUCUAAACAUCGAUGAUCCAGUAAGCAGUGAAUAUUUUAUUUGCAUGCAUGACUCACCGGUCAAUAUUCUGCCCUAGCUAGUGUGAAGUCAAGGGUAGCAUGUUUAGCCAAAACCUAGAGAGAGACCUCUUGACGCGCAAACGAUAUAAAAAUUCUGCAAUUCAAGCACCAAUUUGUCGAUCUUCGAGACUGACGUGACACGAGUAGACAAGGACUGAUUGUCCGUUCAGCCCAAUACCCAUAUAUAAGAUGAAGCAAGGACACAGGGAAUGACGCUGAUCGAACGAUGAGAUAUCUUUGGAGGGGCCAAUUGCACUGAUGAUGAAGCUGCAUUAUUGAGAGGAUGUACAUGAUUUGACUACUAACUGACGGAUGAUGCAUGCUAUGUACUGGCAGAGAGCGACUGAUAUGUUUGAGGCUUGCAUUUGAUUCGUUUACAUGCAUGCUUUUCACGAUUAUUGAUCCAUAAUUCGAAUUAUGAAGGGAAUUUCAUUUGGUGUAUGUCUAGCAAUAGCAACCAACUAGCUUGUUAUGUUGGUAUAGCUUUUCCAUUAACAGUUUGUAUGGGCCGUCUUAGACUACAACCAUUGAACAACUUCACAGUUUCGCUAUUUUUUCCUGUUCUCAUAGUAACCUAGCGAGCAUGAAUACGCAAUAUUUUUGUUUGACAUAGAUGAACGGUUUUCAUGGUUAAGAGAGGAUAUGCGCCUAAUUUUUCAUUGCUCUUCAGUUGAUUUUUAUGUACAGAUCUAAGACCGAAUCUGUAGAUCAACCAUGCACUAUUCCGCAUUUUUCAACCUUAC